GAUGAACGCUAGCGGCAGGCUUAACACAUGCAAGUCGAGGGGUAUAGUAGCAAUACUGGAGACCGGCGCACGGGUGCGUAACGCGUAUGCAACCUACCUUUUACAGAGGGAUAGCCCCAGAGAAAUUUGGAUUAAUACCUCAUAGUGUUAUUAGAUGGCAUCAUUUGAUAACUAAAGUUCCAACGGUAAAAGAUGGGCAUGCGUCCUAUUAGCUAGAUGGUAAGGUAACGGCUUACCAUGGCUACGAUAGGUAGGGGUCCUGAGAGGGAGAUCCCCCACACUGGUACUGAGACACGGAACAGACUCCUACGGGAGGCAGCAGUGAGGAAUAUUGGACAAUGGGCGCAAGCCUGAUCCAGCCAUGCCGCGUGCAGGAAGAAGGUCCUAUGGAUUGUAAACUGCUUUUAUACAGGAGAAACACCUCUACGUGUAGAGACUUGACGGUACUGUA
rnacentral:rRNA from 1 species